rnacentral:lncRNA from 1 species
AGUGAGUGUGUCUGGGGGAACGAUCGAACAAGGAAGGAGGAGGGGGAAACCCUAAACUCAAGAAAUCAGGCAAUUGAAGCCUAAAAUCAUAAGAAAAUCCAGUGCAUGAGCCAUCUUAUCGAUCAUCUAAGCAUACCUAGUGAAGUGCUUGAAAGAAUAAGAACCAUGUCAAGAUGGACCAACUCAUGGGAAGCAAACGGGUCAAAGAGGAGGCAAAGAAACUAGCAUAAACAUGACGAGCACAAGGUAAGUGAUUUCUAUAAUCACUUCUUUAGUUGUUUAAGUAAUAUAAUGUUUUAAUUAUUAAGUUCAUAUGAAGUUGAGGUCAAAUCAAUAGAUUAUUUUGAUAAAUGCACGAAUGGGUCGAAUAAUUCAUAGAUAAAUAACAAGCCGAAUACGUAUAAGUUAAGAAAUUCCUUAACUCGGAUGUUGGACUUCAAGGUCACAUGAUAGAAUAUUAAAUUACAAUCAUAUAGGAAGAAACGUGACGCAAAACGGAUGAAAAAUGAGAGAGUUAUGUCCGUUUCGGUAAGGAUUAAUGGCUAGGAAAAGUGCAGAGUUGACACGGCCGGGUGGUGAACUGACACGGCCGGGUGAAGGUUCUGUCAAAAAUAUUAUUUAUGUGAUUUAUGCGCCGUAGGUUGCGGUAUAUUAUCCGUGAAUUACGACGGGCCUCCCAAACAUGAUUUCGAGUGUUUCCUUGACGAUUAUAAGUUGUAAACCCAAGUCUAAGCCUCAUGUAAUUUAUAUAAGAGUGUGUUAGAUGUAUGUAAUGAGGUUGGACAUGUAUUACAUGUAAAUGUAUACAAAAAUACGUACGGAACACGUAGGUAUGAAUACAUGAUUGUAGGUAUGAUUAAAUGUAUUCUAGGUAUGUAGAUGUGUAUGAUUGUAAGAUUGUAUGUGUGCAAGUAUGUGCGAAUGCAUGAUUUGGAUGCACUUGAGAAUUAGCGUUACUAAUAAUGCCCUUGGGUUUGGAAUAUAAGUUAAUUGGAUGCAUUUAAAUGGUUGACGUCCUUUUUAUGAAGAUGUAAUAAAUGAAUAUGUUGAGAUUACGGGUUUGGCUAACCAAGUUAUUAUUGAGUAUGUUUGAAAGUGCAGGUUAUGAAUGUCGGACUUUCAAAGUGUUGAUAUAAUAAUGAAACGGUUGAAUCUUGAAAGGAUAAUCGGAUUGAAGUAACUUAUGCGGUUAGAAUAUGCUGUGGACGUUUUAGUUUAUACAACAUUUUAUGUUUGGUCGUCAUCAUCUACCAACGGGUAAAUCCUCAAUUCAGGCGACUUGGAGAAUCGGAGCGAGCGCGUGUUCAUGUUAUGUCAUACCAAACGCUUCCGCUAGCUUGUUCAAAUGUUUUUAGUCCAAAAUUUGUUGUAUUGGUUCUUAGUAGUAUUUUGUCGAAUGAAUCGUAGAAUUGUAUCUAGUUUGAUUAUGUUUAAAACAGGGGAAUGCUCGUUUUAUGGACGGGUCAUGCCCAAUUUUUGUUAAAUUAAUGCACCUGCGUUAUUGAUAUUAUCAUUUAA